rnacentral:lncRNA from 1 species
ACCAUUGCCAAGGAAUUGAGAAGGCAUUAGAAGCACUCCAAUCCAAGAUGUAAAGCUGCAUUCUCGGAUUGCACAAUUGACAUCAAUGGCUGAAGGUAUAUUCGAUCCAUUUAAUUUCUGCAAUUGAUCUAUGUGCUAUUUAAAUUUUAUAUUGCAUGACUAGAUCAUAAGUAUAUAGUCUAACAACAAGAAUUUCAGCAUUUGGGGAAGAAGCAACAAAAUGGAUAGGAUAAAUCUCCCAAAAUUUUGCCAGGCAAUUCAUCUCUAGCAUUUCUUGUUUGUUACAGCCUUACUGGCAUGAAAUUCUUCAACUGUAAAUAAAACAUUAUAACAAUUUAAAAAUGUAAUGUAAUUGUAAGUAUUUUGACAACGAUUAUAGCAUAUUGGAAAGGUGAGUUGCAUAGUAUUGACUGAAUUAAAGAAGAAUGUUUUACUGUCCAUUAGUGUACACCUAACAUGAACAAAUUGUAUUGCUAAUACACAUUAAAUAAUUAUAUCCUUGUACCAUCCUCCUUAAAUUCUAUUAACUUAUCUUUAGUAUUGAACUCUUAGCCAAUUAAAAGAUUCCAUAUUCACCGUUUCUGGAUAGAAAUCAAUGGCCCAGAUCAAGAAAAUCCAAAAAACGCCAAGCAAAUUUAGGGAUUUUAGUUUAAAUCAAGAUUUGUUUCUGAAUUUAGAUCAUCUUUUGGAAGGAAGGAUCAGAACGAUUAGUGUAUACAAGUGAUAAUACAAUGCAUAAACAAAACAAGAAAAUAAAAUGAGCCUUAUUAAAGAGUUUUCAAAUGAAAAUCUUAACUGACCUUUGAGUAAGGAUGGAGAAGAAGCGAUUUGUGAAAAUGAGAUUUGAGCAGCAGCUGGCGUGCAAAUCAGCACAUGUGCUUUAUUUUUAUUUUUAUUAUUAUUUUUUUAAACAUUGUGAGAGUUCAGAAAUGAGCACGCACGUUUGAACAAAAUCAUAAGUUGGUCCUUAUAGUCCAUGUUCGGUUUCCUUCGCAUCUCAUUAGGUCAUUAGAGCAGGGUGAGUGAUAAAUUCAAUUUUGCUCACAGUUCCAGUUCAAUAACCAAGACCCUUCGAAUCCCCGUCGAUUUUUGAUUCUCAAUUCUAGUUCCUAUCUGUUUUUUUUUUUUUUUUUUUUAACCGAACCAAAACCUUCGGCUCCAAUUAAAAUAUCCACUCCUAAUUUAUAGCCAUAUAAUGGCCAAGUUCCGUCAUGGAGAGAAGUCUCCGUACGACGGUUCUGUGCACACAUAAUAAUAUCGUCCAUUCAUAUCACAAUACCCGAGACCUUGAGUCACUUAAAUCACGACACCUUGACAUCGCAUAUCACUUUGUUUCUCUUUCUUAUCAUCUCGAACACCAAGGUGGCGCAAUUUGAAUGGCUCUAUGUCUAAUGCACCGUGACUUAAAUGGAUGGUACUAUAAAAUGUGCUUUUAGGACCAUCUUGUUAAAGUUUUUCUCUCAUUAUGGCCCCGAAGACACUCUUUCAAGUGUAGUAAUAGUCAUUUGUCAAAAAACAUAUAGCUGGCAAAUAGAAUUUCCAAUUGUAUUAAGUAGGGAAAUUGAUGCCGACAAAUAAAGCACAUAAUCUUAGUUUUCUGUGAAAUUGUAUGACAUCAUGUUCACUGGUCCGUCGUCACGGUUAAGCAAAAUUAGGAGGUUGCUAAAUUAUGUUCAAAACUACAUCAGGAGAACUUGGAUCUAAUUGGGGGUCCUAACUUUUGAGAGAAAUAGAGAGAAUAUAUAUUGAAGAACGAAGAUCCGGAUUUGAAGGUAUUAAUUGAAGAUUUUCAGAUUUUCUUCAUAGUUUAAUGAUUCGGGUGACGAUUUUUUUUAGUUCUCUUGUAUUUUUUACAUUAAUAUGCUAGACUAAAAUUCUUUGUAUUGGAUGGAUGACAAAACUCUUUGAUUCUUAGUUUUUAAUUCGAGACUUUGUGUUUUUAUCUUAAUUCUUGUGUUAUGAUUCCAUUAAU